rnacentral:ribozyme from 1 species
GAUUAAAAAGAAAUAACGAAAAAGGGUUAAAGGGUUAAAGGAUGUGUGGUUCGCUGUUGUUGUUGUUGUUGUUGUUGUUCUUAUUGUUAU